rfam:Myotis davidii contig151444, whole genome shotgun sequence.
GGUGGUUCUCGGGUUACACACCCAAGAAUCAGGCUCCCUCCUCUCUGAUUCCAGGGUACAUUACCUAAGAACCGCU